rnacentral:rRNA from 1 species
GGCAACAUGAGAGAAGGCCUGUCUCCUAAGGCCGGCCAAUGAAAUUGAACUGCCCGUACAAAAGCUGGCAUUCACAAGCUAGACAAAAAGACCCUGUGGAACUUUAACAAUUUGUUUAUACAAACUAAACAAUAGUUUCAGUUGGGACAACUUUAGAAAAAAUAAACUUCUUACUACAUCAAGACCAACAAGUCUAAAAAUUUUUACCUCGACCCAGUCAUACUGACUAACGAAACAAGCUACCCCAGGGAUAACAGCGCCACCUUCUCAAAGAGUCCAUAUCAACAAGAAGAUCUACGACCUCGAUGUUGGAUCAGGGUACCCAGACGGUGCAGCAGCUGUCAAAGGUUCGUUUGUUCAACGACUAACACCCU